GAUGAACGCUGGCGGCGUGCCUAAUACAUGCAAGUCGAGCGAACAGAUGAGAAGCUUGCUUCUCUGAUGUUAGCGGCGGACGGGUGAGUAACACGUGGGUAACCUACCUAUAAGACUGGGAUAACUCCGGGAAAGCGGGGCUAAUACCGGAUAAUAUUUUGAACCGCAUGGUUCGAUAGUGAAAGACGGUUUCGGCUGUCACUUAUAGAUGGACCCGCGCCGUAUUAGCUAGUUGGUAAGGUAACGGCUUACCAAGGCGACGAUACGUAGCCGACCGGGGAGGGUGAUCGGCCACGAUGGAACUGAGACACGGUCCAGACUCCUACGGGAGGCAGAAGUAGGGAAUCUUCCGCAAUGGGCGAAAGCCUGACGGAGCAACGCCGCGUGAGUGAUGAAGGUCUUCGGAUCGUAAAACUCUGUUGUUAGGGAAGAACAAAUUUGUUAGUAACUGAACAAGUCUUGACGGUACCUAACCAGAAAGCCACGGCUAACUACGUGCCAGCCGCCGCCGUAA
rnacentral:rRNA from 1 species